GUUGGCUUUAGCUUAUUUGGUAAAGCAUCCGUCUGUGCAACGGAAGAACAGGGUUCGAGCCCCGGAGUCAACC
rnacentral:tRNA from 1 species